rnacentral:rRNA from 1 species
AUUGAACGCUGGCGGUAGGCCUAACACAUGCAAGUCGAACGCGAAAGUCCUUCGGGAUGAGUAGAGUGGCGGACGGGUGAGUAACGCGUAGGAAUCUAUCCUGUAGUGGGGGAUAACGUUUCGAAAGGAACGCUAAUACCGCAUACGCCCCAAGGGGGAAAGCGGGGGAUCUUCGGACCUCGUGCUAUAGGAGGAGCCUGCGUCGGAUUAGCUAGUUGGUGAGGUAAAGGCUCACCAAGGCGACGAUCCGUAGCUGGUCUGAGAGGAUGAUCAGCCACACCGGAACUGAGACACGGUCCGGACUCCUACGGGAGGCAGCAGUGGGGAAUAUUGCGCAAUGGGCGAAAGCCUGACGCAGCCAUACCGCGUGUGUGAAGAAGGCCUUCGGGUUGUAAAGCACUUUCAGUGGGGAGGAAAAGCUGGUGGCUAAUAUCCAUCGGCCGUGACGCUACCCACAGAAGAAGCACCGGCUAACUCCGUGCCAGCAGCCGCGG